GAAGUUGUGCCUUAACCCAAAAGGGUGUUCCUGUGGUAAACUGUGUACUCUAUAAAUGUUCUCCAAAGUUAGAAUUUUCUUGGUUUAUGCAAAUGUACAGCUGAGAAUAAUUUUGUGGGAUAUAUUGCAGGGGUGGGGUUGAAAAUUCAUGGUACUUAUCUAUUACUAGUUCUUUGUGUUUUAAGUACUUAGCCUUUAUUUUUUUUUCCUUUCAGCAUUUUCUUAUGUUAACUGGAAUCCCAUAUUGGCUGUUGCUGAGGGGGUUGCUGAGGCUGUUGCUGAUUUGACCUAAAUUUUUUAAAACAAUUUUUUAGCAUUUUCUUUUGGAGACCACAAAUCAUACUGUAAGUCAACAACAUUUGGGUGUUAGUGGGACAUUUCUAUUUUAAGAGGCUUAGAAAGGGAGGUAAAAAAGAAGGAAGUUGGAAGUUAGGAAGGAGCAAUGAAAGCAAAGCACCCACUUUCACUUACCAGACAAAGCCCCUCCCUGCCAAGUUCCUUUCUGGUGGGAGAUCAGGGCAUGGCUCAUGCAAUCACCAGCUAAGAAAGGAACUGAGACUUCUCUUCAUUUGUUGUUUUUUCCUUCCCUACCUUUCCCUAGAAACUAUUAGACUGCCACACUGUCCUGUUGUGUGACACGGGACACUUUAAGUGACAGAGUAGACAAAAGCUGGAACAAAAGAGCCUCUAUUAAGAUUACAUGAAGCAGAUGACAUUUGAAGCCCAAGCCUUUUUAGAAGCUGUGCAAUUCUUCCGACAGGAGAAGGGUCACUAUGGUUCCUGGGAAAUGAUCACUGGGGAUGAAAUCCAGAUCCUGAGUAACCUGGUGAUGGAGGAGCUCCUGCCCACUCUUCAGACAGACCUGCUGCCUAAGAUGAAGGGGAAGAAGAAUGACAGAAAGAGG
rnacentral:sRNA from 1 species